UGGGGAAUCUUGGACAAUGGGGGCAACCCUGAUCCAGCGACGCCGCGUGGGUGGUAAGGCCUUCGGGUUGUAAAGCCCUUUCACCGGGGAAGAUGAUGACAUUACCCGGAGAAGAAGCGCCGGCUAACUCCGUGCCAGCAGCCGCGGUAAGACGGAGGGCGCUAGCGUUGUUCGGAAUCACUGGGCGUAAAGGGCGCGUAGGCGGCUGUUUAAGUCGAGGGUGAAAGCCCGGGGCUCAACCCCGGAACGGCCUUCGAGACUGGGCAGCUCGAGACCGGAAGAGGAGGGUGGAAUACCCAGUGUAGAGGUGAAAUUCGUAGAUAUUGGGUGGAACACCAGUGGCGAAGGCGACUAUCUGGCUCGGUUCUGACGCUGAGGAGCGAAAGCUAGGGGAGCGAACGGGAUUAGAUACCCCUGUAGUCC
rnacentral:rRNA from 1 species